rnacentral:rRNA from 1 species
GCAACUCGACNGCACGAAGCUGGAAUCGCUAGUAAUCGCGGAUCAGCACGCCGCGGUGAAUACGUUCCCGGGCCUUGUACACACCGCCCGUCACACCAUGGAAGUCUGCAAUGCCCGAAGCCGGUGGCCUAACCACUUAUGUGGAAGGAGCCGUCUAAGGCAGGGCAGAUGACUGGGGUGAAGUCGUAACAAGGUAUC